GUAAUAGGUAUUCUAUAUUCAACUUGAUAGAAGAAAUGUGUUUGCCAGCGGUUUUUCUUUUUGUCAAGUUGCUAGUUGUUAGCGGGUAUUUUAAUUGUUUAAUGUUUUUGUUGUAACUAUGUCUAAUUAGCAUUUCUGUCUCCUGUAAUAAUGCAUUCUUGUAUAGGAAUGCACAAUUUUGUCAGACUGAUAUUAUCAAUAGAUGUUGUCAUUAUUAUUUUCUCUCUCGUAAAUUUCACAUAGUAUGAUUAAUGGAUUCUGAGUAACGUUCCAAGCUACCUUUUCGGGGAAAACUGUAGUAUAGUUAUCGGCACGGAUAUUGAGACUGACCUUCACCUUCAGAAGUGAUUUUUUGGUUUAUUGCCUUAUGUGUACAGUGCGCGAAGCGAUCCCCACUCUUCCGCCGAGAGCUCAAUAUCCGAGCAAGCCAGAAUUUACACACUGUUUAAUGUUGUUACUGUAGUUGCAAGAAACUAUUUAAUGCCAUAAGUUUUAGUUUGUAAGUUACUGUUUAAGUAGAGAUAUGAACAAACAGUAAGGUCUUCAUUGUAAAGUUCAAUUAUUCAGUAUAUAUGAUAGGUAAUGAUAAAGUUUAAUUAUAUUAAUUUUGUUUCAUGUUUUUCGUAAUAUUUUGAAUGAUAUUUAAACUCGUAACAACAUACAGGGAUGUAUGCACUUUAUUGAAAAUUUUCUUAUGAUCUGUGAUAUAGUCUAGUUCAUAUUGAAUUGUAUUCUUAUGACGUGAGAAAUUAUUAGCUGAAAGCUAUUUUUUAUUCAUUUUUACUUUGAUUAUGUAAUCACAUAGGGUGUUACAGAAAAGUUAAACAGAUGUUUGACACAUGUUUAAGAAAGUUCUGAAUGGAAGUUUUCUGUUUAACUUUUUUGCAACAACACUGAUUAAUGAAAAGGAAGCAAUAAAUAAUGUAAAUCAAUAAAAUUUAUUAUGGAAAAAUAUUAUCUUACUAUCUACAUUAUUUUUGUUUCGUUUUAUUGACAUGCAUAUUGAGUCAGUCUAUGAUUUUGAAAUUCAUUGAUUAUUCUUCAUAUUGUCUACGCAAUCAUGAACAUAAUGUUUGAAGUAACUCAAAAUAGGCAUGUCAUUAAAACAUUACAAAUUCAUAAACAAUAAUGUUUCUCACUGUUAUAAUGUAAUUUAUCAAUCUAAGAAUUAAAAUAAUAAAAUUUAAAAUAAACUUGAUAUAUAAUAAUA